UACGUAGGUGGCAAGCGUUGUCCGGAUUUACUGGGCGUAAAGAGCGCGCAGGCGGUCGUUCAAGUCGCGUGUGAAAGCCCCCCGGCUCAACUGGGGAGGGUCACGCGAUACUGAUCGACUCGAAGGCAGGAGAGGGUAGUGGAAUUCCCGGUGUAGUGGUGAAAUGCGUAGAUAUCGGGAGGAACACCAGUGGCGAAGGCGACUACCUGGCCUGUUCUUGACGCUGAGGCGCGAAAGCCAGGAGGCAA
rnacentral:rRNA from 1 species